UAAAGCCUUAGCUUCUAGGGAAGGAGCUCUUGCUGAGGGCUUUUCUCAGGAGGGGAUUAGCGUGCUGUCCCUUUACAGCAUGGUGGUUGUGCUGCCGGCUGCUGCCCUGGCUGCCCUUGCUUGGCGCCUCUGAGGGCAGAGGGGCUUCUCCUGAGGGACAGAUGGCUGCUCCCUGUGGGGGACACCUCUUCCCUCAGUUACCACGCUGCACAAGACUGUUAGACUCUGGGCAGUACUCUGGCAUUGAAUUUAAUUUCAAGAGAAGCCCAAGGGAAAUCUGAGCUUUGAAGCAGAGAAGGAAAUACCGGGCAGGCCUGUUGCUGGAAACAGGUGAGCGGAUGAAAGGAAUGAAUGCCUCUGACCUGUGGAGUCUGGUAACCUCUUGCUGCGAUCUUGCUGCAGUGCUGGAUUUUUCUGAUCUUAAUGUGUUACUGUGUAUGGCUGGUUUGUUUUUCUGUUAAGGCUACAUUAUGAACUUCUCAGAGGAGGAGAAAAGGGGGGAGAGGGAAUGAAGGCAGUGAAAACGCAGCUGGCUUGAGUGAUAUUUGGCUUUUUUGAGCAGAUUAAUCACUUUGCUGAUUUACACAGUCCUUAUUCUGUAAUUUUAAACUCUUUCUUAAGGCAGCAUCUUAAUGAACUAAGUCAGUAAACACUCCAUUGAUGUAAACCUUGCUGUGAGGUAAAAAAAAUCUUUUUUUUUCUGUUUGGAAAAUUGAGCGAUGGCAGUUCUUCCAUUACUUUGAUGAAGCUGGUUAAACUCCUGCAACUGUUCCAAACUUUGAAACAAAGGUUCUUCUUAGAUUCAUUUGACUUAGGGAUUUACAAUAACAGAUUCUCAUAACACUUUUUUU
rnacentral:lncRNA from 1 species